AGGAUAGAGGCCUACCAUGGUGGUAACGGGUAACGGGGUGUUAGGGCACGACACCGGAGAGGGAGCCUGAGAAACGGCUACCACAUCCAAGGAUGGCAGCAGGCGCGCAAAUUACCCAAUCCCGACACGGGGAGGUAGUGACAAUAAAUAACAAUACGGGGUUCUUUCGGAUCUCGUAAUUGGAAUGAGUACAAUUUAAAUCUCUUAACGAGGAACAAUUGGAGGGCAAGUCUGGUGCCAGCAGCCGCGGUAAUUCCAGCUCCAAUAGCGUAUAUUAAAGUUGUUGCAGUUAAAAAGCUCGUAGUUGAAUUUCGGGGUUAGUAGGUUGGUCAUGCCUCUGGUAUGCACUGGUCUCACUGAUUCCUCCUUCCUGAUGAACCGUAAUGCCAUUAAUUUGGUGUUGCGGGGAAUUUGGACUGUUACUUUGAAAAAAUUAGAGUGUUUAAAGCAAGCUAACGCUUGAAUACAUUAGCAUGGAAUAAUGAAAUAGGACGUUCGAUCCUAUUUUGUUGGUUUCUAGGAUUGACGUAAUGAUUAAUAGGGAUAGUUGGGGGCAUUAGUAUUCAAUUGUCAGAGGUGAAAUUCUUGGAUUUAUUGAAGACUAACUACUGCGAAAGCAUUUGCCAAGGAUGUUUUCAUUAAUCAAGAACGAAAGUUAGGGGAUCGAAGACGAUCAGAUACCGUCGUAGUCUUAACCAUAAACUAUGCCGACUAGGGAUCGG
rnacentral:rRNA from 1 species